UACGUAGGGUGCAAGCGUUGUCCGGAAUUAUUGGGCGUAAAGAGCUCGUAGGCGGUCUGUCGCGUCUGCUGUGAAAAUCCAGGGCUUAACCCUGGACCUGCAGUGGGUACGGGCAGACUAGAGUGCGGUAGGGGAGAUCGGAAUUCCUGGUGUAGCGGUGAAAUGCGUAGAUAUCGGGAGGGACACCCGUAGCGAAGGCGGCCGACUGGACCACACCUGACGCUGAGGCGCGAAGGCCAGGGGAGCGAACGGG
rnacentral:rRNA from 1 species